UUGAGGCUUUGUUUUCGAGAAAAUCGACUUUGAAUUUUCGUUCGGUACGCGUGCACUUUAUCACGUCUCGUUAUAACGGAUCUCACUGUAGAUCGUUAGAGCGUGGUGGCCAAGCUAUUGUUCCAGCACGACCAAUCCAGCCUUGGUAAUGUUGGUUUAAAAAAUCUCUCACAUGACGAAUAAAAUGUGGCGGUGCACCGUCUUGUUGAAAAAUUAAACUUCCUCUAGUUCUCAGCGGUACAUCUUCUAAUAAUUCCGGUAGUUGGUUUUGUAAGAAAUCGAAAUAUGCUGCUGACGUUACAUUUUCUUCGAAAAAAUAUGGCCCAAUAAUUAGU
rnacentral:misc_RNA from 1 species